AUACUGCUUUACCCUUUGGCUAAGAUCAAAGUGUAGUAUUUGUUCUUAUCAGCUUAAUAUCUGAUACGGUCCCAGGUUAGGGCCAUCAAUACUAAACUGAUUUUUAGAACAAGGCAAAGAAUUAGGGCUUGCUCUGCUUUUGCCACAGGUUGGCCUGGUAUUGCAGUACCUCCAGGAUUCAGUCGAUCUCCU